CCUACGGGUGGCAGCAGUGGGGAAUAUUGCACAAUGGGGGAAACCCUGAUGCAGCGACGCCGCGUGAGCGAUGAAGUAUUUCGGUAUGUAAAGCUCUAUCAGCAGGGAAGAAAAUGACGGUACCUGACUAAGAAGCCCCGGCUAACUACGUGCCAGCAGCCGCGGUAAUACGUAGGGGGCAAGCGUUAUCCGGAUUUACUGGGGGUAAAGGGAGCGUAGACGGCUGUGCAAGCCAGAUGUGAAAGCCCGGGGCUCAACCCCGGGACUGCAUUUGGAACUGUGUGGCUGGAGUGUCGGAGAGGCAGGCGGAAUUCCUAGUGUAGCGGUGAAAUGCGUAGAGAUGAGGAGGAAUACCAGUGGCGAAGGCGGCCUGUUGGAAGAUGACUGACGUUGAGGCGCGAAAGCGUGGGGAGCAAACAGGAUUAGAUACCCUGGUAGUC
rnacentral:rRNA from 1 species